AGUAAUUAUUACUCGUAAUAAUUAUAAUGAUCCCUUGCCUCUCUCUCUCUCUCUCUCUCUCACACGGCCGCACCCGCACACCCCAACGGCCACACCCGCACACCCCAACGGCCACACCCACACACGUAAACCCCUCCUCUCUCCCUCUCCCUCCCCAUCUCCCAUGGAAGUUUGCACGGACGAAAUCGUCGGACUAUUCCUCUACGCCACGAAUUUGUCGUCAGCGAGAAUCUCUCGUGUCGGAGGAUCGAAAUUCCCGCCGGAGGAGAGAGCAUCAACGAGUGCAGCCCACAUGGGCCACGGGUGGGCGGCGAGGGGCGGAGGAGAGGUGGGGGAAAAGCCGAGGGAGUACCUGUUGUUGUUGUUGUCUUGAUUGUUGGUGUUAGUUUGGGUGUGAAUGCUGGCUUUGGGUUGUAUGGGGCGGAUUAAGCGUAGUUGAGGGCGUGGAGAGAGAGAGAGAGAGAGAGAGAGAGAGAGAGAGAGAGAGAGAGGGAGAGAGAGAGAGAGAGAGGGUGAGGACGGGAGGCGGCGGCGCAGAGGAGGGAAGGGUAAUGGGGAGGGAGUGGUGAGGAGCAUUGUGAACCUUGAUGCACUGCCCAUCAGGGCGAUGGAGCAAGAGGUGGAGAAUGGGGUCUAAUUGGGAAUUGUGGAUUGUAACCCUAGACCACCACUCCAAACUUCCAUCGACCACACACCACAAUCUUCACGUUUAUCUACUAGGCGCAAUGAAUUCAUCCACCCACAUGUGAUUGUACGAUUUCGUUUUUGUCUUAAGUUCUGUCUCUGUGAAAAAAAGAUGGAGAAAGCAGAGGCAGAGGCGGCGGCCAUAGAAGCACGGGUGGAGAGAUGAGUCGGCGCACUUCCUCCAAAGAUCACCGGAUCAGAAGGCAGCUGCACUUGUUGAUUUGGUUUGUCUAAUCUUCUUUGUCAAUAUUGAGCAAUACUUCUUCGUUUCCGUACCCACACACAUGUUAUAAACUAUGAUUGUUCUUGGUAGGGGCUGACACAAGGGGACCCGGGUGCCCGCUGCCAUGCACAAGUCUAAAUAUUCUUACAUAUUAUCACCAUUUAUCCACUUCUAUUAGGUUUUUUUUUUUUUUUUUUUGAGUUAAACAUUCGGUCUACGAUGGAAGUUAAGAAACCUUGAAGGAAUCUGGUUGGGGGAGGAAAACCUAUUUAUAGAUUUUGAGUAGCUGUUCCCUCACUCUGGUAUGAGUGUUAUUUGAUUAUUUUGCCUGUGUGCUUCUUGAAUUUUGUGUUGAUUAAUCUGUUAGUGUCAAUAUAUUUCUCGAUUUUUCUUCACAGGUUUCCUUCACUGGUUUUUGAUGUUUCUAAAUAUUCUCUACGAACUACAUUCAUUAUGUUAGGCUGUUGGAAAUACUUGAAAGGUGAGUGAAUAAUUUAGGAUGAUUAUGAUUGAAUAAUUUGGGCAGCAAUUGACUUAUCAUGAAAGAAACCAUGCUUAGGGUGAUUAUGUGUAUUGUCUUUUCUUUUCGUUUUUAGAAUUCAAACUUGACUUGAUUUUUCUCCAUAGCUUGGAGUCCACGUUUUUGCGAGGCCUGGAAUUAUGAGCUAUAACAAGUGAAAAGCGUAAGCCUUUCUUGAAUUACUUAGGCUCCGUCCUCUUGAACUUAACUUAAACUUAACUUAAAUCUGGGAUUUUUGUCCUUAUUUAAAUUUUUUUCGCAUUUUUUAGUUUUGUGCCAACUUUUUGCGGGUUAUUGAUUCGUCUCGACAAGAAUAAUUGGAAAAGUAAAUUUUUUUUUUUAACUUUACCCAAGUAUUUGACAAAUAACCACUUUUUAUCCAAAAAAUGACAUUUUUGCCCUCCUCAUGCGGAAUAUCAGUCUGCAUCGGUUGAUGUGUUUUGAAGAUGAAAGAUGGGUCAUGGUUUGUGAUACUGGAUUGGGGAGGGGGAAGAGACAAGAGGAGGAAGAAUACUGAAAAUAUGAUUUCAGUGGUGUGAGCAAAGAUCCAGCCGCAACCGCGAUCGUGCUUGCGUUUCUCCAUCAGUUGGUGUUUUUAAUUGAGUUUUUCUACAGUUUUAGGUUUUCUUACAAGGCAAACGAUUGGAAAUUAUUGUGUUCGCGUGUUAGAUCGUGUUGAUCCUUAGUAUAGAUGAUAUUAUUGUUGACACAAAGGAGUUUAAUCUCACUCUUCUAGUAGCUGUUUGUUGUAGAUUUUUAGCGUAGUUGUGUUUAUUGUUUAACAUAAAUGAUUCGAUGAUCUUUUUAGUUUUGUUUUAGUCAUACCUUCAAUUUUGAUCUUACUGGUCCCAUGAUUUUUAGUUCUUGCGUUUCAUAGUCACAACUUUAGAUGGUUUGUUAGGGAUAGAAUUAUGCCAGGUCAGAUAGUGGUAUAUAUUCAUUCACAUUUAGGCUUUUUCCCGAAUAAAUGUUUCGUGUGUGCCAUUUGUUUGUGUUUUUAUGUAAAUAGGUGAGCUAGUUUACAAUUGAUGGAUAUCCUUGUUACAUGGAUUUGGAUAUAUGUGUUCUUGCAUGAUCUUUACUUUAACUCACAAUUUACCCAACCCGGACGGAACUCUAUUUAUCAACUGAUGGAGGGGCAAGCCCCACAAACCUCCAUUCGACUUCCAGAUAAAAGGCAACCCCCGAGAUCCACACAUAGAUAGCAUUUACAAUGAGAAUUCGAUUGCCCGCCCUCUGACAGCUCAACCAUGGCUACCUCUUCGACGAUUUGACCCAUUUCUCGAUGCUGGAGCUUCCUCUACAGCCUUGUCAGACUUGAAUCUGGAUUGCGAAUGCUGGCAGUUUCAAAGACGGAAGGGGCCCAUCUACUACUAAUUCAUACCUUUCGGACGUUGACCACCUAAGAGAGGCCGAUCCUAACAUUACUUACUUCCUCGAAGGAGGAACUUCUAGUAUCUACUGACCGAGCAAUUCACUAAUCCUCAACUUCCACCCAAAAAGGACAUAACUCCUUGAUUAUGAAACCUUGUAGGAUUUUGUGUAUCUUAGACAUUUCAAUAUUUUUGGUGUGCAGUUGAGUGUUUUCCCAUCAUAAUUUGUGGCAUAAUAAUUAUAAUAAAAAAUCCUAUUACUGUUGAAUGUGUAGGGCUUUUUUGUCCUGAGGCCUUUUUUUUGUAUACGGGCGGCAUUCCCUUAAUGCCUUAAUUAUAUUAUCUCUCACUUAUCAAAAAGAAAAGUUUCCCCAUCUUAUUUUUGUGGAUGAUUUCUUUAUGGUAGGAUUAAUUUGUGAUAUGCUGCAAUAUUUAUUGAUUUUUAAUUUUUUUAGGAAGAAUGGAAAAUAUAGUUCAUUUACUUUGAGUACCAUGCCCUUUGGUUGUAGAUGACUGACAUGGUAUUCAUUUGUAGGAAAUGUCUGACAUACGUUUCCAUAGGAACUCUCUCAGAUUCACCAAACCAUCUCACCAAAGGUUUGCCCAUAUCAGCCUAUCUCCAAAGCUCUGUCGACAAAAAGUUCAAAAUCCUCCCGACCCUUGAAAAGCUUCCGAUUGUGUAAAGGCGGCGUGCGAUGAACUUUGGAUCACGAAUUCAAAUGUGUAGUCAAUAGAAUUAGUCAUUUAUUGCUUAUGAUGUGGUCUCUUCAAGGAAGAGGGCAAUGGAGUGCAGCAGGAAUAUCUGGUUGCUGAAGCAGGCCUGCAAUAUUGAAGCUUUGUUCCUCCUCUUGGAUAUGCUGUCCUUGGGAGCUCGAGGGACCUUGCAGUAGAAGCUGUUUCAAUAGCUUUUCUUAUAAUCGGAUCAAUGCUUAAACAAGAGGGCCAAGGUGGACACCCAAACUUCUCUAAGAUAAAUAAGGCAAGAAGAAUCGUGCCCUAUUCUCACUUAUUGCUCCCGUUGAAGCAAAGAUUAGUGUUUGAAGAAGGGUUCACCAGGUUCUAGAAGGAGCAAUGGGAAGGACUUAUGGGUGGAUUAACAGAAGCCCUGUUCAUUGGACGAACUUGUUGUUCACAAAAAAAGAACGGUCUACGACUUCUGUUGGUAGUGACUAGAGCACUAAUCCUGGGUUCGGAUCAGUCAUCUGUGAACAAUCACAAGGCGUAACAAGUCUUAGAAAAGAUGGAGAAAGCUCUGCUCGGUGGAGAAAGCAGCGGCAGAGGUGGCGGCUGUAGAAGUAGUAACGGGUGGAGAGAUGAGUCGACGUACUUCCUUCGAAGAUCACCUUAUAAGAAGGCGGCUGCACUUGUUGAUUUGUUAAAUGUUGGGUCUAUGAUGGAAGCUAUUUUAGAAAUCUUGAAGGAAUCUGGAUGGGGGAGGGAAAUCCAUUCAU